ACGGAAGGCAGCAGUGAGGAAUAUUGGUCAAUGGGCGGAAGCCUGAACCAGCCAAGUCGCGUGAAGGAUGAAGGUAUUAUGUAUUGUAAACUUCUUUAGACGUAGAGAAAUAAGGGGAUCGUGAUCCCUGAUGCUAGUAUACGUAGAAUAAGGAUCGGCUAACUCCGUGCCAGCAGCCGCGGUAAUACGGAGGAUCCGAGCGUUAUCCGGAUUUAUUGGGUUUAAAGGGUGCGCAGGCGGUCUUUUAAGUCAGUGGUUAAAUCGUGGAGCUUAACUCCAUCCCGCCAUUGAUACUGGAGGACUUGAUUGCGGUUGAGGUUGGCGGAAUUCGCCGUGUAGCGGUGAGAUGCAUAGAUAUGGCGAAGAACUCCGAUUGCGUAGGCAGCUGACCAAGCCGUAAAUGACGCUCAUGCACGAAAGUGCGGGGAUCGAACAGGAUUAGAUACCCUGGUA
rnacentral:rRNA from 1 species